rnacentral:rRNA from 1 species
GUAGUCUGCAACUCGACUACAUGAAGCUGGAAUCGCUAGUAAUCGCGGAUCAGAAUGCCGCGGUGAAUACGUUCCCGGGUCUUGUACACACCGCCCGUCACACCAUGGGAGUCAGUAACGCCCGAAGCCGGUGACCUAACCGAAAGGGAGGAGCCGUCGAAGGUGGGACCGAUAACUGGGGUGAAGUCGUAACAAGGUAGC